CAGGCGGUAGUUUAUUAAGAAUGCGGGUUUUGGGGGUUCGUGGUCCUUUGGUCGUCUGA
rnacentral:tRNA from 1 species